UACGGAGGGUGCAAGCGUUAAUCGGAAUUACUGGGCGUAAAGCGUGCGCAGGCGGUUUGUUAAGUCCGCUGUGAAAUCCCCGGGCUCAACCUGGGAACUGCAUUUGUGACUGCAUCGCUGGAGUGCGGCAGAGGGGGAUGGAAUUCCGCGUGUAGCAGUGAAAUGCGUAGAUAUGCGGAGGAACACCGAUGGCGAAGGCAAUCCCCUGGGCCUGCACUGACGCUCAUGCACGAAAGCGUGGGGAGCAAACAGG
rnacentral:rRNA from 1 species